UACGAAGGGGGCUAGCGUUGCUCGGAAUUACUGGGCGUAAAGCGCACGUAGGCGGCUUGUUAAGUCAGGGGUGAAAUCCUGGAGCUCAACUCCAGAACUGCCUUUGAUACUGGCGAGCUUGAGUUCGGGAGAGGUGAGUGGAACUGCGAGUGUAGAGGUGAAAUUCGUAGAUAUUCGCAAGAACACCAGUGGCGAAGGCGGCUCACUGGCCCGAUACUGACGCUGAGGUGCGAAAGCGUGGGAGCAAACAGG
rnacentral:rRNA from 1 species